rnacentral:rRNA from 1 species
UACGUAGGGUGCAAGCGUUGUCCGGAAUUAUUGGGCGUAAAGAGCUCGUAGGCGGUUUGUCGCGUCUGCUGUGAAAACUCAGGGCUUAACCCUGAGCCUGCAGUGGGUACGGGCAGACUAGAGUGUGGUAGGGGAGAUCGGAAUUCCGGGUGUAGCGGUGGAAUGCGUAGAGAUCCGGAAGAACACCGGUGGCGAAGGCGGCCUGCUGGGCAGUGGCUGACGCUGAGGCGCGACAGCGUGGGGAGCAAACAGG